AGAUUGAACGCUGGCGGCAUGCCUUACACAUGCAAGUCGAACGGCAGCACGGGGGCAACCCUGGUGGCGAGUGGCGAACGGGUGAGUAACAUAUCGGAACGUGCCCUGGAGUGGGGGAUAACUAGUCGAAAGACUAGCUAAUACCGCAUACGAUCUACGGAUGAAAGUGGGGGAUCGCAAGACCUCAUGCUCGUGGAGCGGCCGAUAUCUGAUUAGCUAGUUGGUGGGGUAAAGGCCUACCAAGGCAUCGAUCAGUAGCUGGUCUGAGAGGACGACCAGCCACACUGGGACUGAGACACGGCCCAGACUCCUACGGAGCAGCAGUGGGGAAUUUUGGACAA
rnacentral:rRNA from 1 species